rnacentral:rRNA from 1 species
AUGGCCGCGCACGGGCGCGUGAGCACCAGCACCGGCCGCGCACUGGCGCGCGAGCACCAGCCCCGACUGCCAACGGGCGCGCGAGCAUCAGCACCGGCCGCGCACGCCGUCUCCUCCAGAGCAUGGGCGCGAGCAGCGGCAUCGUCCGCGCGCCAUCCCAAGAACGCCAUCGGACAGCUCGCCGGCGCGGAGCUGGGAGGCUCGUUGGCCGGCAGUCGGGCUGGCCGGAUCCGGCAGGGCCGUACUUGUUCGGAGGCGCCUACCAAAUCGAGGUCAUGCUGGGAUCGACAGCCGACGCGAUGGCCAUGGCCCUGCUCUGCCUCCGGUGCGUGCCGGGAUUCCCGAGGGCGUCGAGAGCACGGCCGAGCUCUCCCCGAGGGAGAGGUUGCUCUCUCCAUCGUCUACAGCGCGGGGGCCGCGAGCUGGACGUGUGGCGAGCACAAGCACCGGCGGCGAGCAGCAGUAGUACGCAGCGUUGGGGCAGCGGCCAGCGGUAUGCACCGGCGGCGAGCAACAGCAGUACGAAGCGUUGGGGCAGCGGCCGGCGGGAUGCACCGGCUGCCAAUCUGGUGCGGCUGCUAUGUGGUUGCCGAAAUGCCAAGGAGGCAGAGGAGAGGUUGA